UACGUAGGGAGCAAGCGUUGUCCGGAUUUAUUGGGCGUAAAGAGCUCGUAGGCGGCUGAGAAAAGUCAGGUGUGAAACCUCCCAGGCUCAACCUGGAGACGCCACCUGAUACUUCUCUGGCUUGAGUCUGGUAGGGGAACACGGAAUUCCGUGGUGUAGCGGUGAAAUGCGCAGAUAUCAGGAGGAACAGCCGGUGGCGAAGGCGGGUCUCUGGGCCGUAACUGACGCUGAGGAGCGAAAGCAUGGGGAGCGAACAGG
rnacentral:rRNA from 1 species